rnacentral:rRNA from 1 species
GACGAACGCUGGCGGCGUGCCUAAUACAUGCAAGUAGAACGCUGAAGAGAGGAGCUUGCUCUUCUUGGAUGAGUUGCGAACGGGUGAGUAACGCGUAGGUAACCUGCCUUGUAGCGGGGGAUAACUAUUGGAAACGAUAGCUAAUACCGCAUAACAAUGGAUGACCCAUGUCAUUUAUUUGAAAGGGGCAAAUGCUCCACUACAAGAUGGACCUGCGUUGUAUUAGCUAGUAGGUGAGGUAACGGCUCACCUAGGCGACGAUACAUAGCAGACCUGAGAGGGUGCGCGGCCACGCUGGGACUGAGACACGGCCCAGACUCCUACGGGAGGCAGCAGUAGGGAAUCUUCGGCAAUGGGGGCAACCCUGACCGAGCAACGCCGCGUGAGUGAAGAAGGUUUUCGGAUCGUAAAGCUCUGUUGUAAGUCAAGAACGAGUGUGAGAGUGGAAAGUUCACACUGUGACGGUAGCUGACCAGAAAGGGACGGCUAACUACGUG